rnacentral:rRNA from 1 species
UACGUAGGUGGCGAGCGUUGCCCGGAUUUAUUGGGCGUAAAGCGCGUGCAGGCGGCCUGUUAAGUCCGUUGUGAAAGCUCCCGGCUCAACUGGGAGAGGUCUUCGGAUACUGGCAGGCUCGAGGGAGGUAGAGGAAGGUGGAAUUCCCGGUGUAGUGGUGAAAUGCGUAGAGAUCGGGAGGAACACCAGUGGCGAAGGCGGCCUUCUGGGCCUUUCCUGACGCUGAGACGCGAAAGCGUGGGGAGCGAACCGG